rnacentral:tRNA from 1 species
UAGCUCAGGGGUUAGAGCACUGCUCUUGUAAACCAAGGAUCGUGAGUUUGAUUCUCAC